rnacentral:rRNA from 1 species
GAUGAACGCUAGCUACAGGCUUAACACAUGCAAGUCGAGGGACCGGCGCAAGGGAGAGGAACACGUAUCCAACCGCCCCUUUACUCGGGGAUAGCCUUUCGAAAGAAAGAUUAAUAACCGAUGUAAAGGAUGGGGAUGCGUUGCAUUAGGUUGUUGGUGAGGUAACGGCCCACCAAGUCUUCGAUGGAUAGGGGUUCUGAGAGUAAGGUCCACCACAUUGGAGCUGUGACACGGUCCACACUCCUACGCGAGACAGCAGUGAGUAAUAUUGGGCAAUGUGCGUUAGCCUGCACCAGCCAAGUAUCGUGAAGGAUGAAGGCUUAUGGGUCGUAAUCUUCUUUUUUAUAAGAAUAGGUAUUAUAUGAAUAAGGAUCGGCUAACUCCGUGCCAGCAGCCGCGGUAAUUC